GUUUAAAAUAUGCCAUUCGGUAUCAUGGAAACUUUAGGGUGGAAUUGUAUGAUUAGAGGCUAGCAUGUGGAUGGUUGUUGAAACAACUAAUUGCAAGCACAAUACAAGCUGUAACCUUCUUUCAUGGACCCCCUUACACCAUUUUUGGUCCUUAUAAAUAAAUCCUUUCUCAAAUCACAAACAUAUCAUUGUAAGCCAAGCUGAAGCAAUUAAAAUGGCCCAAGUAAGCAUUGCGAAAAAGGCUUCCAUGAUCGCCGUUGUUGCCAUGGCACUCACGUCGGUAUCCAUUGUGUCGGCUCAAGGCCCAGCGCCUUCUCCUGACGCUGGAGCGGCCUUUUCUCUCCCUGCUUCGGGUGCAAUGGUUGCAACUUCUUUGCUUGUAUCCCUUGUUGCACUAUUGAAACAUUGAUUAUGUUUUUUAUUUCGUGCACAUUCACUUAUUUGUUGAUUUUCUGUUUAUGUUAAUUCUUUUUUAUAUUAUUUGUACAUUGUAAUGUAAUUGAUCCCAUUCGUUUAUGUAUCCAAAUAAUUUAAGUCUGUGGUUAAUUAAUCCAA